GUGAGUCAUCGAAUCUUUGAACGCACAUUGCGCCCCUUGGUAUUCCGAGGGGCAUACCUGUUCGAGCGUCAUUACAACACUCAAGCCUAGCUUGGUAUUGGGCUCCGCUGCUUACCCAGCGCGCCUUAAAAUUAGUGGCGGUGCCGUCGGGCUCCUGAGCGCAGUAAAAACCUCGCUAUAGGGACCGGUGAACAUUUGCCAGAAACCCCAACUCUUUUAGUUUGACCUCGGAUCAGGUAGGGCUACCCGCUGAACUUAAGCAUAUCAAUAAGCGGAGGA
rnacentral:misc_RNA from 1 species